GCUCAGGAGAUAGCGUGACAAACAGUCCUUGGUGCAGGAGAAGCAGGGUCAGGGCAAAGCCCCAGGUUCUGGCUGUGGCUUUCAGGGUCUCAGUCCUAACAGCGGUUUCAGAGAGGGGAAGAAGCCAAUCAGCGUCGCCGCGGUUACCGGUUAUUAAGACUCCACAGAGCUACCCGGACUCAGCCUCUCCUCAGACCAGAAGAUGGGGGUCACGGUGCCCCAAACCCUCCUCCUGCUGCUGUCGGCGGCCCUGGUCCUGACUGAAGCCUGGGCGGGUGAGUGCGGGGCUGGAAGGGAAAUGGUCUCUGCGAGGAGUGCGAGGGGACCUUCCGGCGGGGACGCAGGUCCGGGAAGUCGCGCCGGGAGGAGGGUCGCGCCGGGUCUCAGCCCCUCUCGCCCCCCAGGGUCCCACUCCAUGAGGUAUUUCUCCACCGCCGUGUCCCGGCCCGGCCGCGGGGAGCCCCGGUUCAUUUCCGUCGGCUACGUGGACGACACGCAGUUCGUGCGGUUCGACAGCGACGCGGAGAAUCCAAGGGAGGAGCCGCGGGCGCCGUGGAUAGAGCGGGAGGGGCCGGAGUAUUGGGACGAGCAGACACGGCGCGCCAAGGGCGCUGCACAGACUUUCCGAGUGAGCCUGGAGAACCUGCGCCGCUAUUACAACCAGAGCGAGGACGGGUCUCACACCCUCCAGGAGAUGUACGGCUGCGACGUGGGGCCGGACGGGCGCCUCCUCCGCGGGUAUCAGCAGCACGCCUACGACGGCGCCGACUACAUCGCCCUGAACGAGGACCUGCGCUCCUGGACCGCGGCGGACCCGGCGGCUCAGAUCACCCAGCGCAAGUGGGAGGCGGAGGGUGCGUCGGAGGGAGACAGGGCCUACCUGGAGGAGGAGUGUGUGGACUGGCUCCGCAGAUACCUGGAGAACGGGAAGGACACCCUGCAGCGCGCGGAUCCCCCAGAGACACGUGUGACCCACCACCCCACCUCUGACCAUGAGGCCACCCUGAGGUGCUGGGCCCAGGGCUUCUACCCGGCAGAGAUCACACUGACCUGGCAGCGGGAUGGGGAGGAUCAGACUCAGGACAUGGAGCUUAUAGAGACCAGGCCUGCAGGAGAUGGAACGUUCCAGAAGUGGGCAGCUGUGGUGGUGCCUUCUGGAGAAGAGCAGAGAUACACAUGCCAUGUGCAGCAUGAGGGGCUGCCAGAGCCCCUCAUCCUGAGAUGGGUGCUGCUUCCCAGCCCAGCAUGCUCAUGGUGGGCAUGGUUGCUGGCCUGGUUCUCCUUGGAACUCUGUUGACUGGAGCUGUGGUUGUGAUGUGGAGGAAGAAGAGCUCAGGUAGAAAAAGAGGAAACUACACUCAAGCUGCAAUUAGUGACAAUGCCCAGGGAUUGGAUGUGUCUCUCACAGCUUGUAAAACCUGAGACAGCUGCCUUGUGUGGGACUAGUGUUCAUGCCUCUCCUUUGUGACUUCAAGAGCCUCUGACUUCUGCAAAUGCUUCUGAAUGAUUCUGCAUCCCUGUUUGUCUAAUGUGAGGAGUGGUGAAGGCAGCCUUCCCCUCUGUCCAUGGUGACCCUUUCUCCCACACUGACCUGUGUCCCUUCCUGAUCAUCUUUGCUGUUGCAGAGAGGUGGGGGUGGGACGUCUCCAUCUCUGUCUGAACUUCAUGGUGUGCUAAGUUGCUUCCCUACUGAAAAUAGGAAUUUGAAUAUAAAUUUGUUUUUUCAAAUUCUUCCCAUGAGAGCGGCAAGAGGGGAAAUAAAAUGAAGACCUGAGAACCUUCCA